AUGUACAUGCCUAUAGUGUUAAUGCAAUGAAUCCCAUUAGAGCUCCACAUUUUAGUGCGCUUAGGCUAGAGUAGUAUUGGGAUGGGUGACCUCCCGAGAACUCCUAGUGUUUUACAUG
rfam:Picea glauca, whole genome shotgun sequence.